AGCCUUGAGGUGUUAGCACGUAAGAUUGCAAAUCUUGAGAAGCAGGGUAACAACCUGCCGGGGCUU
rnacentral:tRNA from 1 species